rnacentral:rRNA from 1 species
GUGCGUAGGUGGUUUCUUAAGUCAGAGGUGAAAGGCUACGGCUCAACCGUAGUAAGCCUUUGAAACUGGGAAACUUGAGUGCAGGAGAGGAGAGUGGAAUUCCUAGUGUAGCGGCGAAAUGCGUAGAGAUCGGCAGGAACACCAAGGACGAAGGUAGCGACCUGGGCAGCACCUGACACUGAGGGACGACAGCGUGGGGAGCGAACC